rnacentral:rRNA from 1 species
GCUACCAUGCAAGUCGAGCGGUAGCACAGAGAGCUUGCUCUCGGGUGACGAGCGGCGGACGGGUGAGUAAUGUCUGGGAAACUGCCUGAUGGAGGGGGAUAACUACUGGAAACGGUUGCUAAUACCGCAUAAUGUCGCAAGACCAAAGUGGGGGACCUUCGGGCCUCAUGCCAUCAGAUGUGCCCAGAUGGGAUUAGCUAGUACGUGGGGUAACGGCUCACCUAGGCAACUAUCCCUAGCUGGUCUGAGAGGAUGACCAGCCACACUGGAACUGAGACACGGUCCAGACUCCUACGGGAGGCAGCAGUGGGGAAUAUUGCACAAUGGGCGCAAGCCUGAUGCAGCCGUGCCGCGUGUGUGAAGAAGGCCUUCGGGUUGUAAAGCACUUUCUGCGGGGAGGAAGGCGUUGAGGUUAAUAACCUUGGCGAUUGACGUUACCCGCAGAAGAAGCACCGGCUAACUCCGUGCCAGCAGCCGCGGUAAUACGGAGGGUGCAAGCGUUAAUCGGAAUUACUGGGCGUAAAGCGCACGCAGGCGGUCUGUCAAGUCGGAUGUGAAAUCCCCGGGCUCAACCUGGGAACUGCAUUCGAAACUGGCGAGCUAGAGUCUUGUAGAGGGGGGUAGAAUUCCGGGUGUAGCGGUGAAAUGCGUAGAGAUCUGGAGGAAUACCGGUGGCGAAGGCGGCCCCCUGGACAAAGACGGACUCUCAUGUGCGAAAGCGUGGGGAGCACACAGGAUUAGAUACCCUGGUAGUCCACGCCAUACACUAUCUCUAUGUGGAGGUUGUGCCCUUGAGGCGUGGCUUCCGGAGCUCACGCGUUAAAUCGACCGCCGGGGGAGUACGGCCGCAGGGUUAAGACUCAUAUGAAUUGACGGGAGCCCGCACAAGCUGUGGAGCAUGUGGUUUAAUUCGAUGCAACGCGGAUAACCUUACCUGGUCUUGACAUCCACAGAACUUUCCAGAGAUGGAUUGGUGCCUUCGGGAACUGUGAGACAGGUGCUGCAGGGCUGUCUUCAGCUCGUGUUGUGAAAUGUUGGGUUAGUCCCGCAACGAGGGCACCCUUAUCCUUGUUGCCGCGGUUCGGCCGGGACUCAAAGGAGACGGCCGUGAUAACUGGAGAAAGGUGUGGAUAACAUCCAUUCUUCAGGGCCUAACAACAGGGCCACCCACUGCUACAUGGCAAAACAAGAGAACGCCUCCGCGACCACCGACCUCAAAGUUUUUUAUUCGGAAGGAAUCGCACCCCCCCCCGAAAUCG